rnacentral:rRNA from 1 species
AGCGAACGCUGGCGGCAGGCCUAACACAUGCAAGUCGAACGGUGAAGCCCUUCGGGGUGGAUCAGUGGCGAACGGGUGAGUAACACGUGAGCAAUCUGCCCUUGACUCUGGGAUAACUUCGGGAAACCGGAGCUAAUACCGGAUAUGACGCACGGAGGCAUCUUCUGUGUGUGGAAAGAUUUAUCGGUCAAGGAUGAGCUCGCGGCCUAUCAGCUUGNGGUGGGGCAAUGGCCUACCAAGGCGACGACGGGUAGCCGGCCUGAGAGGGCGACCGGCCACACUGGGACUGAGACACGGCCCAGACUCCUACGGGAGGCAGCAGUGGGGAAUAUUGCGCAAUGGGCGAAAGCCUGACGCAGCGACGCCGCGUGAGGGAUGACGGGCC